rnacentral:rRNA from 1 species
CGCAAUGGGCGCAAGCCUGACGGAGCAAUACCGCGUGAGGGAGGAAGGCUCUUGGGUCGUAAACCUCUUUUAUCAGGGAAGAACACAAUGACGGUACCUGAUGAAUCAGCAUCGGCUAACUCCGUGCCAGCAGCCGCGGUAAUACGGAGGAUGCAAGCGUUAUCCGGAAUUAUUGGGCGUAAAGCGUCCGCAGGUGGUUGUGAAAGUUUGCUGUCAAAGCGCGAGGCUCAACUUCGUAACGGCGGUGAAAACUUCACGACUAGAGCUAGGUAGGGGUCACGGGAAUUCCCAGUGUAGCGGUGAAAUGCGUAGAUAUUGGGAAGAACACCAGCGGCGAAAGCG